GGGAGAAGAGGUGGGAAACUGCUCGCGCCGCGCAGGCGCACCGUAGGCGGCCGCAAUGGCGCUGUCGUGCACCCUGAAUAGGUAUCUGCUGCUCAUGGCGCAAGAGCACCUGGAGUUCCGCCUACCGGAAAUAAAGUCUUUGCUUUCACUUUUUGGAGGUCAGCUCAUCAGUAGUCAGGAAACUUAUGGAAAGUCUCCUUUUUGGAUUCUUAGCAUUCCCUCUGAAGAUAUUGCCAGAAACUUAAUGAAACGAACAGUGUGUGCCAAGUCCAUAUUUGAACUGUGGGGUCAUGGAAAAUCUCCGGAGGAGCUGUAUAAUUCUCUUAAAAACUACCCUGUGGAGCAGAUGGUUCCAUUUCUGCAUUCAGAUUCUACAUAUAAAAUAAGGAUUCACACAUUUAAUAAAACCUUGACACAAGAAGAAAAAGUCAAACGAAUAGGUGCACUUGAGUUUCUGCCAUUUGAAGGGAAAGUGAAUUUAAAGAAGCCACAGCAUAUAUUCUCUGUUUUGGAGGAUUAUGGUUUGGACCCAAACUGCAUCCCUGAGAAUCCACAUAAUAUUUAUUUUGGUAGAUGGAUUGCAGAUGGACAGAGAGAGCUUAUUGAGUCAUACAGUGUCAAAAAGAGACACUUUAUUGGAAAUACAAGCAUGGAUGCUGGUUUAUCAUUUAUCAUGGCCAACCAUGGAAAAGUGAAAGAAAAUGAUAUAGUCUUUGAUCCAUUUGUUGGAACAGGUGGCCUUCUGAUAGCGUCUGCUCAUUUUGGUGCAUAUGUAUAUGGGACAGACAUAGACUACAAUACAGUUCAUGGCUUGGGAAAGGCUAGUAGGAAAAACCAGAAAUGGAGAGGACCAGAUGAAAACAUUAGGGCAAAUCUUCGUCAAUAUGGUUUAGAGAAGUAUUACCUUGAUGUCCUGGUUUCAGAUGCAUCUAAACCUUCCUGGAGGAAGGGCACAUAUUUUGAUGCAAUCAUCACUGAUCCUCCAUAUGGUAUCAGAGAAUCUACAAGAAGAACAGGUUCUCAGAAGGAAAUACCAAAGGGAAUGGAAAAAUGUCCAGAAAGCCAUGUUCCUGUUUCCUUGAGUUAUCAUCUGAGUGAUAUGUUCUUUGACCUGUUAAACUUUGCAGCUGAGACCCUCGUGUUAGGUGGAAGACUAGUCUAUUGGUUACCAGUGUACACACCAGAAUACACUGAAGAGAUGGUACCCUGGCACCCUUGCCUGAAACUUAUUAGCAACUGUGAGCAGAAGCUUUCCAGUCACACAUCAAGGCGCUUGAUAACAAUGGAAAAGGUGAAGAAAUUUGAGCUCCAGAACAUUCCCUGAAGUAGUCCACAGUGCAUUUCGAGAUAGAGGUGAUCAUGCAUGGCCUGGAAGCGGCACAGGGAGAAGAGAAGACAGAAGGCAGAGCUGGGAAGGACCUCAUGUUGUGAUUCCUCCUGUGUGGGAGAGGAAACGGAGAGGACAUUCAGCAAACUGAUGUGCAGUUAAAUCUAACUCCCAGACAGUAAGGGGAAAGCCUCAGAAUUGGGGAGAGUUUGAACCCAUUUGGAUUUUAGCCAUCAAUGCUGGCAUGUUAGAUUUGCAUUUGAACAAGUUGAGUUUGGUCUCAGCAAGGAAAAUAGACUGGAGAGGGAGCCACUGAAGGCAUGGCAACUGGCCAUUUAGGGGAAGAAGGCAAGCAGAGACACGGAAGCUGAAACUCUAGUACCGGCAUUGUGGGCGAAGAGAAGUGGAUUUGAGACAUUUAGGAUGCAGAAUGGAAGAUUUGAGGUCUGACUCCAUGUGAGAGGAAAAGGGCGAGGCAUUUGACCCAGGCUUCUGAUUUCGAUGACGAGGUGGAGCAUGAGGCACGGAGCUGUGAGGAGAAGUGGAGCAGCAGGAGCGAUGUCGGCAUCUGGACAGAGCUCUAAAAUAUAACCGAGUAACGACAUUUCUGCCAGGAUUAAGCUAACGUAGCUCAGGAAGUGGACACGUUUUCUGGAGAUCUUAUUUGGUAUAAGGACCGAAGUUAGAAUACCUGGAGGAACAGACGAUGGCAUAUCCCUUCCUUUCGGCUGACUCUUCAGUCAGACUUCUGGUGCAGUUGAAAUGCGCAAGCCAAGGUUAAAUGCUGGAUUGUUCGAUAUUGCUGCUGUCCCAGGAACAGUCCUGAGAUGUGGACCAGACUGGAGUCCUCCUCUGAAGUCGACGGUACUCCUAGGAUUAUGGUAUCCCUCAGGCAUCCUUGCGGCUCCCUCGAUGUCCUCCUGAACCGGGACCAGUAUUCACAUCUGUUAAGUGAUCACUUUCUCCCGUACCAAGGUCAUAAUUCCUUCCGUGAGAAAUAUUUCAGUGGCGUUACAAAAAGAAUUGCCAAGGAAGAGAAAUCUAGCCAAGAGUGAAA